CCUACUGGUGGCAGCAGUGAGGAAUAUUGGUCAAUGGACGCGAGUCUGAACCAGCCACGUAGCGUGAGGGAUGACUGCCCUAUGGUUUGUAAACUUCUUUUAUAUGGGAAUAAAAUGUUCCACGUGUGGGAUUUUGUAGUUACCGUAUGAAUAAGGAUCGUCUAACUACGUUCCAGCAGCCGCGGUAAUACGGAGGAUCCGAGCGUUAUCUGGAUUUGUUGGGUUUAAAGGGAGCGUAGGUGGAUUGUUAAGUCAGUUGUGAAAGUUUGCGGCUCAACCGUAAAAUUGCAGUUGAAACUGGCAGUCUUGAGUACAGUAGAGGUGAGCGGAAUUCGAGGUGUAGCGGUGAAAUGCUUAGAUAUCACGAAGAACUCCGAUUGCGAAGGCAGCUCACUGGACUGCAACUGACACUGAGGCUCGAAAGUGUGGGUAUCAAACAGGAUUAGAUACCCUAGUAGUC
rnacentral:rRNA from 1 species